UAGUUCCACCUUCCACUGAUCUAACUGGUAAGGUUGUAUAUUUUUGCUUUGCAUUAUGAUUUGCAAUACGAUUGUGUAAAAUGCUUUUUCAUUUCUUUUUUAGUGCUAUCAUCAUCUGCUUCAACUGUGCCAUCAUCAUCUACUCCAACUGUGGCAUCAUCAUCUGCUCCAACUG
rnacentral:lncRNA from 1 species